GCGCAUGCGCCAAGUGGCCUACUUUUCGGCCCGUUAGCCAAACUCACCCAAAGAGGCGCAGUCCUCGGUCCCGGGAUGAAGCAAGCGCGGCACGGCGUCGGGAGAAACACCUUGGCUGGAGUCGGCUGCCUGGACCAUGAUUAAGGAGCACAAAUCCACAGUUUCAGGCUGACUGUCAUCGAAGUUGCUGGUGAACCCCUCUCCAAACCCAUCUGCUUCCACCAGUUCUGGCGUCCUGUUGCACAUGGGACACAGUUGGUUCCGGACAAUAGAUGAUCUCAUCCAAAUAAUCAGAUUCCAACGCUCUCCAGAGGUGACCGGGAGCGCCCCAUGCAUCUGCCCCCCACGAUGGAGCAAUCCAUGAAAAAGCACAUGCUCCACCUCGAUGUACUUGGGCACAGGGUUGAUAUCCUUUAAAAGCAGAAAGAGCAUCAUGUUAAAAUUCCAGACAAAUGACUCUUUGAGGUAAAAACAGAAGAGGGACAUGGAAAUAUAUCUUGUUGAAGGCUGUCAUGGCCGGAAUUACUAGGUUGCUAUGAGUUUUCCGGGCCAUACAGCCCAGAAAACUCACAGCAACCCAAAAUAUAUAUCUAUAUAUAUAAAAGAGUGAUGGCAUCAGGGCAGCAGACAAAACAACAAAACUACAGGCCCCCCAACCUCAAAAUUUGACAACACAACCCAUCAUCCACGGCUCUAGGUUGAUACAAUAAAAAGAAAAGAAAAAUAAAGUCCUAAUUACAGGGAGAGGAAUAAUUGUUUUUAUCCAAUUGCUGCCAGUUACAAGGCUAAGUUCCGCCCACUUGGUCUCCUAGCAACCCACUCAGCCCAGGAGACAAGCACAAGAGUUUGGAGAGACCCCUAAGGGCCAUCCAGCCCAACCCUUUCUACUAUGCAGCAGAACACAAUCCAAGCAUUCACAACACAUGGACAACGUAUAAAUACUAUACAAUACUACACAGGGAUAUAGACCCCCUCUACCCUCACCACUUUCACAGUACACAAACAACCAAAUGCAUACUAAACAUAAAGACAACCAUACAACAGACAUUCAAUACCACCACUACCUCAACCAUUUCUCACCAACACCACCAGACAAUGCCACAGCAACGUGUGGCCGGGCACAGCUAGUCUUCUUAUAAUGCACCUUUUCUGAUAUGUGAGAUUUUGUAAUCGCUUAAAAAUUAAUAACAGGACUGGAUAAAAUGAUAUGCUCAAUCCACCAGGUGACUCUCUGACACUUGUCAACGCACUUUAUUAAAUGUUCUUGAAAUUGCGUAUUUUUAUAUGCCUGACCCCUUUUAUCCAUAGUGGUUGAUGUUUGUAUCAUUAUCUCAUUUUGUAUAGUCACUAUGUGUUUUACUGUUGUGUUGUGUUUUAAUUGCUUAUUUUAUUGAUUGAUGUAUCAUUGUUUUUAGUUACAGAGAUUGGUUCUAACUUGUUAUAUUUGUUUUUGUUUUGGGCAUGGCCCCAUGUUAGCCGCCCCAAAUCCCUUCGGGGAGAUGGUGGUGGGAUAGAAAAAUAAAGUAUUAUUAUUAUUAUAAUUUAGUCUGUCUCCAUAUAGUGGACCAUAUCCAUCAGAGGUUAUUUGCAUCUUUCACAAGUAUACAAGGUCUGAAAUAUGAUCCGUUUCAUGCAUGAGCAAUGCAUGCUGGGAAUGUGGCAAACCUUUUUCCACACGUAAUGGACCUGUUCACAACUAUGGACUUUGAAUAAAACUGAACCAGAGAAAAGCUUGUCUCAAAAAUUAUCUAGAAACAACAAUUAACCAGAGUUGCUAUCUUGGAAGAUACCCAGCAGACAUCAAGUAAUAACAUCUCUAGAGGGAAUAAUAAAAUUUAAAUAAAGAAAUAUUAUCCUUUUAUUUUGUUUAGUGCCAGCAUCCCAAUAACCACAGGUAACAUCUCUAGCUAUGUGGGCUUCAUAAAGCAGGGGUUAAGCUCCAGAUGUUCUGGACUUCAGCUUCCAGAAAUCCCAACCAGUGUGGUCAAUGGGUUGCAGGAGUUUUACUAAAAAACAUCUGGAGAGCCAAGCGUUUCCUAUAAUCUGCCAUACCGUCUGAGAGUGAACAACAUGCUUUUGUAUACAAUAUAAGAGCAAUAAAAUAAACAAGUACAAAGUAAACCACAGAAAAAUGAUGGCACCUCUCUGAAUUCGGCAAAGUAGAGGUUGCCGUCGGUAAACUCUUUCCCCAAGGAGACGUUAAGUGUGACUUCUGCGUUGUCAUAGUGGGAGCUUAAAUCCAGGUCUUCUUUUAAAGCGUAUUUCACCACAAAAGCUUUAUGGCUGUCCAAGUGGCCUCCCCCACAGUCUGGAUAAAGCAGGGCCGCCAGGGGCUGCAGGUAUUUCUCACGGAAAGGGGUGAUGAACGCUUCAUCCAUCCCAAGUUCAUUUAAGAGAACCUACCGGGGAUAGUAGAAGAGGGAGAAAGAAAAAGCAAUAGGGUGAAAAGAUGACGGCAUUUUGCAAUGGCUGGGAAUGGCCCUUGCUUUUCAUAUUGUUGUAUUAUGUUAACGCCCAGUCAGUUUUAAUAGUGGAUUUUAAACUUUUAUCUUCUGUUCAAUAUAUUUUAAUCUUUGUUCGGUGUGUUUUAACAUACGUGUUUUGUAGAAAUACGCUCUAAUAAAUCUAUUUUAUAUAAUGGUUA